GAUGAACGCUGGCGGCGUGCUUAACACAUGCAAGUCGAACGAUGAAGCUCAGCUUGCUGGGUGGAUUAGUGGCGAACGGGUGAGUAACACGUGAGUAACCUGCCCUUAACUCUGGGAUAAGCCUGGGAAACUAGGUCUAAUACCGGAUAGGAGCGCCUACCGCAUGGUGGGUGUUGGAAAGAUUUAUCGGUUUUGGAUGGACUCGCGGCCUAUCAGCUUGUUGGUGAGGUAAUGGCUCACCAAGGCGACGACGGGUAGCCGGCCUGAGAGGGUGACCGGCCACACUGGGACUGAGACACGGCCCAGACUCCUACGGGAGGCAGAAGUGGGGAAUAUUGCACAAUGGGCGAAAGCCUGAUGCAGCGACGCCGCGUGAGGGAUGACGGCCUUCGGGUUGUAAACCUCUUUCAGUAGGGAAGAAGCGAAAGUGACGGUACCUGCAGAAGAAGCACCGGCUAACUACGUG
rnacentral:rRNA from 1 species